rnacentral:lncRNA from 1 species
GUCAAUAUAAAAGCUAGCAAAUGAAAAAAACCAAAAUGAGUUUAUCUUGUGAAAAAAAGAACUUCUACUUAAUGUCAUAUCCAGCUCAAGUAAAAUCAUAAUAAUUAUUUAAACCAUAAGCUUUUGUAUCAAAAUCGAUAUCUUAGAUCUCAAAUGUUAACAAAAAUAAUGUUAACCAUGUCUUACUAUAAGUUAUCUUACAUUAAAAUAUAAUGAUGUUAUACAUAUUCAAUUCAAUAAUUACAAAUGUAAAGAUAAAAUCAUUUUGUUUCCCCCAAUUAAUGUUAGGGUGGCAGGCAUAUAUAUUAUUUUCAAUACUAGCAGUGCCUUCACAUGUAUCUAGACCUUGUUUUACACGGGUGGAGGUAAUUAGGUAAUGUAUGUGCAAAAUCCAUGGUGUUCAUCAUCUCCAUCACUAUACAACCAGUUGCUAACCCAAAGCGUUUUGGCAAAAUAAAUUUUGCUUCUUGCCAGCAAAAAAGGUUCCUUCCCCGACCUGCCGCUAUCACUUUAUUCGGACUUAUGGCUGCUGAGUAGUUCAUACCAUGAAAAAGUAUUAUCUUAUGCUUGGUGAAUAAUUAGCAUCUGAAAUGUAACUAAAAUUGCAAGCAAUAUAUUUUCAUAACCCCUGAUGAGGAAAAUAUGGUUGGAAGCAAGUAUUGAUGAUGCAGAAAUUUAUAUCAUAUCAAAUAUAUAUCAAUUAAACACAACUAACAAAACUUAUAUUGAGUUGCCCAAGAGAAAUAGGUACAAACUUCUAAAAUAUCUCGAAGAUAAUCUUCUAAACUUCUAUAAUCUUUUUAAAUAGUUGCAACUUAUUAUGCAAUUAAAUGUAAUUUUCAACAAUUUUUUUUAAAUUGCAUUUGUGAUUGCAUAUAUGGUUGCUAACAAUUGCACAUACAAUUGCAUCAUCUCAUUUAGAACAAUUUAUGUUGAUGCAACUCUCAUACUCCUUUCUAUUUUCAGGACAUAGUUGGUGCUUUUCCUCGGCUGUACUUCUCCAUUAGCUGAGCUAACUCUGCAUCAAACUCCUUAUCCAACUUUACAUUCUUCUCGCAGCGCUGCCUCUUCAACUCAACCUUCCUCUCUUCCCGAUAUUUUCGAAAUUUGUAUCUUUCUUCGGCAACUCAAUAUGGGUUUUCUUAGUUAUUUUCGAUUGAAUUUUUUAUUUUAGUUGAUUUUCUGGUUGUUAUAAGUUUCAACUGUUUGAAAAGCAACCAUGAAAUUAACUAAAAUCAGUGUUUUAAAAAGCGCAUUAAGCGGCCGCUUAAGCGGCCGCCUAAGCGGAAUCGGCCCUAAAACGCCUCGAUUUUGUAUUAAGCGGGUUCUUAAGCGUUUUUGAAAAUUAAGCGGACUAUUAAGCGGAUUAAGCGGUCGUUAAGCGGAUUAAGCGGUACUUAAGCGGUCAAAAUGAUUUUGACUUGCUAAUUUUUCAGUUUUAAAAUAUUUUUUUAUAUAAUAUAACUAUAAUUAUAUUAAAAAAUUAAUAUAUAUAUAUAUAUAUUUAAAAAUUUAAAUUCUUACCACAAUAUAACAUUAUUUUUGAAUAUAUUAAUAUUAAAAUUAAAUAUUUAAUUAUAUUUUAUUAAUCCGCUUAUUGGCCCGCUUAAGAUUCCGCUUAAGCGUCCGCUUUACCGCUUAAACGCUAGAAGGUCUUUUCACCGCCUAGAGCCGAUUUGCGCUUUUCAUAACACUGACUAAAACCAAAAAAUCAUCUAAAACAACCAACAAAACCGAUAUUGAGUUGUCGAAGAAAGGUACACACUUCUAAAAAUAUCUGGAAGUGAGGAAGGCGGAGUUGAAGAGGCAACGCUUCGAGGAGGAUGUAAAGCUGGAUAAGGAGUUUGAUGCACAAUUAACUCGGCUCAUGGAGAAGUACAGCCGAGGAAAAGCACUAGCUAUGUCCUGAAAAUAGAAAGGAGUACGAGAGAUGCAGCAACAUAAAUCGUUCUAAAUGAGAUAAUGCAACUGUAUGUGCAACUGACAACCAUAUAAACAACUACAAAUGUAAUUUAAAAAAACGGUUAAAAAAUACAUUUAAUUGCAUAAUAAGUUGCAACUGUUUGAAAAUUUUAUAACCGAUCAUUAUUAAUAUCAUAGAAACAAUCAUAAAAUCAACUAAAAUAAAAAAAAUAAUUAAAAAGAACCAACAAAACUGAUAUCGAGUUGUGGAAGAAAGGUACAAUCUUCUAAAAUAUCUGGAAGAGGAAGGCUGAGUUCAAGAGGCUGCGCUGCGAGGAGGAUGUAAAGCUGGAUAAGGAGUUUGAUACUGAGUUGGUGAUGUGCUCAAAAUAUGAUUUUGAAAUUACUCGCAAGUGCACGAUCCCGUUUUAGUAAUAUAAGAUUCGUUCCAAGGACUAAAUUUAUUUUCGCGAAAACUUAAUUUUUAACUUAAUCAAAUUAGACCAAAUGAUUUUUGAAGGUGUUUUGAUUUAUCUAAAUUGAAAAUUAAAAAUUGAAUCUAAAAUCUAAAAUACUAAUUAACAAUUAAAUUUGAAAGAAAAUAAUUAUCUAAAUAGAAACUACUAAUUAAUAAUUAACAAGUAAUUAGGAAACUACUGACGCAGGCAGUUGAAAUGCGUGGUGCGGUAAGCGAAACAAAGGACAAGAAAAUAAUAAAAGAAAACAAAUAAAAAGUAAAUAAUAAAAUAAUAAAAUAAUAAAAACAGGCGGGGUGCAACAGCAGAAUACUAAAUGAAAUAGUAGGCGCGUGAGUAACUGACUAUAUCUUCUCGAACAGUAGCCGUAAACUAAACAGUGACGCAAUUACAUGAUUCUCGCAUCGGAAGUUAUGGAGGUGCUCGGAAUAGCUUAAAUCUCGUCGGAAAAUUGAUUUGACCGGAAAAUUAAGCCAUUCCAACUAUGACAAAUAAAAGCACACUAACCUCUAAACCAAAUUUGACACUAAAUUUUACACUAAAUAGCCCCUAAACUACCCAUUUCUUGACCAAAACGAGAUCCAAAUCAAACCAAAUCAACUCUAAACUACACCAAAUUUCAAAUCUAACCUAAACAUAAUAUUUCCAACAUAAACCCACUAACCUCAAUUAAAAAUCAUAAACUAAAAUUUACACCAAAAAGCCCCAAAAUCAAGAACAAGGAGAACACCAAAUCUUACCAAACUAACUCCAAAUUACACAAAACUUUAAAACUAGCUUAUCUAUCAAGUUUCUAACAAAACCCCAUCAAACUACCAACCAAAAUAUCAACUAAGCCAUUGAACCCACUAAUAAUAUUGAGAAUCAAAAGGGGCUCAAGCUAAAUACUAAAAAUGUAAGCUUAAAACUUGAAUCAAAGGCUCAACCCACAAGUGGUUGGCAUAAAUGCCACUUUAUCCACUUGUUGUAAAUAAAGGUUUUCAUAGCCAUAAAUUUCAACAAGGUAAAGAUGUAGGAGAUGAAGAAACUAAACUUGAACUUAUAUUAAACAAGAAAGUGUUUACAAUAUUUGAGAGAUUACAAUUUGAAAAAGAAAGCUAGAAAUUGAUGGAGGCUACUAACAACUAGGUAAAACUAGGGUAAACUAACUUGAGAGCUAAUGAGAGAAAAGGGUGUUUAUAUAGGCCAAGAUUAGGGUUUUAGGGGUAGAAGGGUCCUUGUUUUUUUUUGAUUUUCUUUUCCCUUUUCUUCUUCUUCUUCUUUUUCUUUUCUUUUUCUUCCUCUUUUUCCCUUCUUGCACCUUUUUGUUCCUUUUUCUCUUGAAUUCUCGAUUUCUCUAAAAAUUCCUGAAAACAAAACAAUUAACUAAUAAAAUACGAAAACAAGCAAUAAAUCGGUAGUUAAAAUGUGCAAAAUAAUGGACCUAUCAGUUGGCUCGGCUGACCGAUCGAGAAAUACAGCGAGCAAAAGCACCAGCUCUGUCCGGAAAAAAUAGAAAGGAGCGUGACAAAUGCAGCAGCAUAAAUUGUUCUAAAUGAUUGCAAACAAAAUCACAGACCCACACAAAUUCAUAACCAUAUUAUUUUACGAAAAAUGAGAAAAAAUUAGGUUUACCUUGCAUGGUGGUACACCGGAACAUUUUCUUCCUUUUUUAUCAAAUUGCAAUCAUAUAUGCUAAAGGAUGGGAGAAAAUACGCAAGCUGUACUAUAUGAAAAUAUAUUAGAUAUGAAGAUUACAAGAAUAUGCUCAAAUAAAUAAUAUGUAAUUUAAAGGGAAACCAAAAGUUCCAACAAUAAAGAAUUUAAAUACAAAUCACAUGAUAAAUAUGUCAUAUUAUUAGUUAAAUAUACAAAUUUAGUGUAUAAUGAAUUUUUAUUUAUUAUAAAUUUAACAUAGAUUAUAUUUAAGUCUUCCACAAAAAAAUAUAUAAAUAUAACCCGAACCAAAAUACCUUUUUAAAAAAUAUAGUAAAAUAAGAAUAAAUCCACUUUAAUUUACAAAACAUAAUUACAUUUAAAUUAAUUUUUAAAUUCUAAUCAUAAUGAGUAGAUUAAUUUAAUAAAAUAAAUGAAAACACAAGAAAUGUUUGUGCAAUAUACUUAAAUAUUUAUUUUUAUGCAUCACAACUUGAUGGGAUAUUUUUUUCAUACUAUAAUUUUUUAGUUUGUUUUAAAAUACAAUAUAUUAAUUUAUUAUCAAUAUUUCAAGUUGCUCUAUUUUUAGAAUUUUAGUUUUAAGCCCAUAUAAAAAAAUUCCAAUGACCACAAAUAUGCUUACAUAUAUUGUUUCAAAAAUAAAAUAGCAAAAUAAUUUGUAAAAUAAUUUUUUUUAAAUAUUUGAAACACAAAUAUACUUUAAAUACUAAGCAUCUUUAAAAUAUAAAUUUCUUUUUUUGACUUCAAUUAAUAUUAAUUUCUUGAAAUCAUUGAUAUAUUAUCAUCUAAAAUUUACGUUGAGAGAAAAAUAUCUAUAAAAAUUAUAUAAGCUAUAUCAUAUAUAUGCACACCAUCUGUCAUAUAAACACGUCAAAAGAAAAUUUAAUAGAAGACUAUAUCUAAAAUCAAAUAUUAAAUACAUAAGAAACGUGUAAUCUAUUAGUACAUAAUCAUACACACAUACAAGAAUAUGAAAUAAGAUAUUGGUAAUGAGAUUACAGAUCCAAUACCUUGGUAAUUCCGGCAAACCCUUGUGACAGUUUACUUGGCCAACGCACAUACAGGGGGAAGGAUAAAGAGACUAGCAUGUGUGUGUAUAUAUACUAAAGAUUUGUGUGUAUAUAUAUAUUAAAGAUUUAUACAGAUUUUGAAGCUAAAUGACUGGGAGUCAUGGUUGGAGAAAAGAUGGAGGCUAAAGAAAUGGGGAGAGAAAGGCUAAAUGACUGGGAGUCAUGGUUGGAGAAAAGAUGGAGGCUAAAGAAAUGGGGAGAGAAAGAAGAGAAGAGCGGCGGUUGAGUAACUCUUAUGAGAUAGGUAAUGAUUAUUUAUAUGCAAUUUUUAGGGUUGGAAAGAAAUUGACUAAAAU